rnacentral:tRNA from 1 species
GCCCUGGUAGUAUAGAGGUCAGUAUGCUGCCCUGUCAAGGCAGAGCGGCGGCGACCCGGGUUCGAAUCCCGGCCAGGGCG